rfam:Triticum aestivum genome assembly, contig: Triticum_aestivum_CS42_TGACv1_scaffold_603620_7DL
UUAAUACUCCCUCCGUCCGGAAAUACUUGUCGGAGAAAAUGGAUGUAUCUAGACGUAUUUUAGUUCUAGAUACAUCCAUUUUUAUUCAUUUAUGCGACAAUUAAUUCCGGACGGAGGGAGUAGAAA